rnacentral:rRNA from 1 species
CCUACGGGAGGCAGCAGUGGGGAAUAUUGGGCAAUGGGCGCAAGCCUGACCCAGCAACGCCGCGUGAAGGAAGAAGGCUUUCGGGUUGUAAACUUCUUUUCUGAGGGACGAAGAAAGUGACGGUACCUCAGGAAUAAGCCACGGCUAACUACGGGCCAGCAGCCGCGGUAAUACGUAGGUGGCAAGCGUUAGCCGGAUUUAUUGGUUGUAAAGGGCGUGGAGGCGGGAAAGCAAGUCAGAUGUGAAAACUCAGGGCUCACCCCGGAGCCUGCAUUUGAAACUGUUUUUCUUGAGUGCUGGAGAGGCAAUCGGAAUUCCGUGUGUAGCGGUGCAAUGCGUCGAUAUCCGGAGGAACACCAGUGGCGACGGCGGCUUGCUGGACCGUAACUGCCGCUGAGGCGCG